rnacentral:rRNA from 1 species
AUUGAACGCUGGCGGCAGGCUUAGCACAUGCAAGUCGAGCGGGGUGAUGGUGCUUGCACUAUCACUUAGCGGCGGACGGGUGGGUAAUGCUUAGGAAUCUGCCUAUUAGUGGGGGACAACAUCUCGAAAGGGAUGCUAAUACCGCAUACGUCCUACGGGAGAAAGCAGGGGAUCACUUGUGACCUUGCGCUAAUAGAUGAGCCUAAGUCGGAUUAGCUAGUUGGUGGGGUAAAGGCCUACCAAGGCGACGAUCUGUAGCGGGUCUGAGAGGAUGAUCCGCCACACUGGGACUGAGACACGGCCCAGACUCCUACGGGAGGCAGCAGUGGGGAAUAUUGGACAAUGGGGGGAACCCUGAUCUAGCCAUGCCGCGUGUGUGAAGAAGGCCUUAUGGUUGUAAAGCACUUUAAGCGAGGAGGAGGCUCUUUUGGUUAAUACCCAAGAUGAGUGGACGUUACUCGCAGAAUAAGCACCGGCUAACUCUGUGCCAGCCGCCGCAGUAA